rnacentral:rRNA from 1 species
AUUGAACGCUGGCGGCAGGCCUAACACAUGCAAGUCGAGCGAGCGGCGGACGGGGGAGUAAUGUAUGGGGAUCUGCCCGAUUGAGGGGGAUAACUACUUGAAACGGUUGCUAAUUCCGCAUUCCAUUCGAUGAUCCCCUAUGGGAUUUGCUAGUAGGUGGGGUAAAGGCUCACCAAGGCGACGAUCCCUAGCUGGUCUGAGAGGAUGAUCAGCCACACUGGGACUGAGACACGGCCCAGACUCCUACGGGAGGCAGCAGUGGGGAAUAUUGCACAAUGGGCGAAAGCCUGAUGCAGCCAUGCCGCGUGUAUGAAGAAGGCCUUAGGGUUGUAAAGUACUUUCAGCGGGGAGGCGUUACCCGCAGAAGAAGCACCGGCUAACUCCGUGCCAGCAGCCGCGGUAAUAC